UACGUAGGAUCCUAGCGUUGUCCGGAUUUACUGGGCGUAAAGUGUGCGCAGGCGGCCGAGCAAGUCGAGUGUGAAAGCCCCGGGCUUAACUUGGGAAUUGCGCUCGAAACUACUUGGCUGGAGUGUGGCAGAGGGGGGUGGAAUUCCACGUGUAGCGGUGAAAUGCGUAGAGAUGUGGAGGAACACCAAUGGCGAAGGCAGCCCCCUGGGCCAACACUGACGCUCAUGCACGAAAGCGUGGGGAGCAAACAGG
rnacentral:rRNA from 1 species